rnacentral:rRNA from 1 species
GAAGGUAGCAUAAUCAGUAGUCUUUUAAUUGAAGGCUGGUAUGAAUGGUUGGACGAAAUAUUAACUGUUUCAUUUAAAUUUAUUAUAGAACUUUAUUUUUUAGUUAAAAAGCUAAAAUUUUUUUAAAAGACGAGAAGACCCUAUAAAUCUUAAUAUUUAUAUUAUUUUAAUUAUAAAGAUUAUUUUAAUUAUAAUUUUUAUAAAUAUUUUAUUGGGGUGAUAUUAAAAUAUAAUAAACUUUUAAUUUUUUAUUACAUUAAUUUAUGAUUAAUUGAUCCAUUAUUAAUGAUUAAAAAUUUAAGUUACUUUAGGGAUAACAGCGUAAUUUUUUUGGAGAGUUCAUAUCGAUAAAAAAGAUUGCGACCUCGAUGUUGGAUUAA